rnacentral:tRNA from 2 species
GGAGAGAUGGGUGAGUGGCUUAAACCAACAGUUUGCUAAACUGUCGUAUUGGGUAACCGGUACCGGGGGUUCGAAUCCCCCUCUCUCCG